AUGGAUUUCAAUAUUUAUUGGUAUGAGGACGGCGACAUUUUCCUUGGAUUUGAUGAUCCUGGGUAACGUCCCGCAUGCCGCACACAUCAUCACCCAAUUGGGACCAGGAAUCGCCAGCGUUGGCUGGCUGUUCGACAUCGGACCAGUGAUCGCCAGUCAUUUCGUCGUCGGUGGUGGCAGGUAGUUCUCCGGAACCCAAGUCCUUCUACGACUUCCAGAAGGUUGCAACAGCCGGUCCAACGUGUCCGAAGGAUCAUCGUCGUCAUCAUUGCAUCAGUGUACAGCUCGGUUUCAU